ACCCUGGCAUAGGGAGCGAUCUCUGAGCGAGAAGGCAAGAUGCAUGUGGGAUUCUUCCCCGAUCAAGUGGAGAACAGAAUAAUCAGUUCUGCAACAGACAGAAGAAACUACUGAAGCAGUUGAAAUUUGCAGAAUGCCUAGAAAAAAAGGGGGACACGAGCAAAGUAAAUUUGGAAGUUAUAAAGCCUUGGAUAACAAAAAGAGUAAUGGAAAUCCUUGGGAUGAAGAUGAUGUUGUGAUUGAGUUUAUAUUCAACCAGUUGUAAGUGAAGAACCCAGACUCCAAAAUGAUGCAAAUCAACCUGACUGGAUUUUCGAAUGGAAAAAAUGCUCGAGAAUUUGUGGGAGAACUGUGGCCCCUGCUGCUAAGUGCACAAGGAAACAUCAUGGGAAUUCCUUCUGCUUUCCUAGAACUGAAGAAAGAAGAAAUAAAACAAAGACAGACUGAACAAGAAAAAUUCGCAUCUAUGAAAAAGCAAGACAAAGACAAAGAUAAAAGGCAUAGGGAAGAAAAAGAAAGCAGCAGAGAAAAAACAGAGAGGUCUCGUAGCCCAAGAAGAUGCAAAUCUCCUUCCCCUAGAAGACGAUCUUCCCCUAGUCCUUCUGCUCCAGAAAAGAAGGAAAAACCUCCAGAGCUCCCAGAACCUUCAGUGAAGGUAAAAGAACCUUCAGUAGAACAGGCCACUUCUACUAGUGACAUUCUGAAAGUUCCCAAACCUGAAUCUGUACCAGAGCCUAAAGAACCUUCUCCGGAAAAAAAAAAAAAAAAAAAAAAAAAAAAAAAAAAAAAAUUUCAAAAAGAAACGCAGAAGGAAAAGACCUGACCACGAUCUCGGACACGCUCCAAAUCAAGAUCCCAGAUGCGGUCCCACUCUCCUUCUCACACUCCACCUAGACGGCGCCAUAGAUCCUGAUCAAGAUUGUAUUCACCUAGAAGGCGGCCAAGCCCAAGAAGGCAGCCAUCUCCUCGAAGAAGAGCUCCACCAAGAAGAAUGCCUCCUCCACCAAGGCAUAGAAGGAGUAGAUCUCCAGUAAGAUGAAGAAGACGUUCGUCAGCAUCCUUGUCUGGGAGUAGCUCAUCAUCCUCUUCAUCUCAUUCCCGGUCACCACCAAAGAAGCCUCCCAAGAGGACAGCCAGCCCCCCUUGAAAAAUUUGUAGGUUAUCUCCUUCAGCAAGUCCUCCAAGGCGAAGGCACAGGCCAUCUCCUCCUGGAACUCCACCACCCAAAACUCGGCAUUCCCCAACACCCCAGCAGUCAAACUGUACAAGAAAAAGUCGUGUUUCUGUAUCUCCAGGGAGAACUUCAGGUAGUGACAAAACAUAAAGGUACUGAGAAAAGGGAAUCCCCUUCACCAGCGCCGAAGCCUAGAAAGGCAGGGUUAUCUGAAUCAGAAGAAGAUAAAGGUGGUAAAAUGGCUGCAGUAGAUUCUGUGCAGCAGAGACGCCCAUACAGACGAUAAAACCAGCAGUCUUCAUCUGACUCUGGCUCCUCCUCCUCCAAAGAAGAUGAAAGACCCAAGAGAUCCCAUGUGAAGAAUGGUGAGGUUGGCAGGCGGCAGACAUUCCCCUUCCCGGAAUGCCUCU